rnacentral:ribozyme from 1 species
UGCCCAGCAACUCCUAUCCCUACCUCCUCGUGGUACUGGCCGGGGUACGAGCUACCUUAGGGAAGAUCGGGUUAUCAAACCCGGUGGGAACUUUGACCGUAUGCUGACAGGGAAGG